GAUGAAGAACGCAGUGAAAUGCGAUACUUGGUGUGAAUUGCAGAAUCCCGCGAAUCAUCGAGUUUUUGAACGCAAGUUGCGCCCGAAGCCAUUCGGCCGAGGGCACGUCUGCCUGGGUGUCACGCAUCGUUGCCCCCCCAAACUCCGGUUCGGGCGGGGCGGAAGUUGGCCCCCCGUGCGUGCCUGCGCGCGCGGUUAGCCCAAAAGCGAGUCCUCGGCGAUGAGCGCCACGACAAUCGGUGGUUUUUUUACCCUCGUUCCUCGUCGUGCGUGCCCCGUCGCCCGAACGCGCUCUUGCAACCCUUACGCGUCGCCUCGGUGGCGCUCCCAACGCGACCCCAGGUCAGGCGGGACUACCCGCUGAGUUUAAGCAUAUCAAUAAGCGGAGGA
rnacentral:misc_RNA from 1 species